AUUGAACGCUGGCGGCAGGCCUAACACAUGCAAGUCGAGCGGAUGAAGGGAGCUUGCUCCUGGAUUCAGCGGCGGACGGGUGAGUAAUGCCUAGGAAUCUGCCUGGUAGUGGGGGAUAACGUCCGGAAACGGGCGCUAAUACCGCAUACGUCCUGAGGGAGAAAGUGGGGGAUCUUCGGACCUCACGCUAUCAGAUGAGCCUAGGUCGGAUUAGCUAGUUGGUGGGGUAAAGGCCUACCAAGGCGACGAUCCGUAACUGGUCUGAGAGGAAGAUCAGUCACACUGGAACUGAGACACGGUCCAGACUCCUACGGGAGGCAGCAGUGGGGAAUAUUGGACAAAGGGCGAAAGCCUGAUCCAGCCAUGCCGCGUGUGUGAAGAAGGUCUUCGGAUUGUAAAGCACUUUAAGUUGGGAGGAAGGGCAGUAAGUUAAUACCUUGCUGUUUUGACGUUACCAACAGAAUAAGCACCGGCUAACUUCGUG
rnacentral:rRNA from 1 species